rnacentral:piRNA from 1 species
UCAUGACAUCUUGUCUGGUCCCCAUGAU